rnacentral:rRNA from 1 species
AAGGAAUAUUGGUCAAUGGGCGGAAGCCUGAACCAGCUAUCCCGCGUGCAGGAUGAAUGCCCUACGGGUUGUAAACUGCUUUAGACUGGGAAGAAACCCCUCAAUGAGUUGGGGGCUGACGGUACCAGUAGAAUAAGCACCGGCUAACUCCGUGCCAGCAGCCGCGGUAAUACGGAGGGUGCAAGCGUUAUCCGGAAUCACUGGGUUUAAAGGGUGCGUAGGCGGCUUGGUAAGUCAGAGGUGAAAGCCCGCAGCUCAACUGCGGAACUGCCUUUGAUACUGCUGAGCUUGAAAGAGGACGAGGUUGGCGGAAUGUGGCAUGUAGCGGUGAAAUGCAUAGAUAUGCCAUAGAACACCGAUUGCGAAGGCAGCUGACUAGACCUGCUUUGACGCUGAGGCACGAAAGCGUGGGGAGCGAAC